rnacentral:rRNA from 1 species
CCUACGGGAGGCAGCAGUAGGGAAUAUUGCUCAAUGGGGGAAACCCUGAAGCAGCAACGCCGCGUGGAGGAUGACGGUUUUCGGAUUGUAAACUUCUUUUGUUAGAGAAGAUAAUUACGGUAUCUAACGAAUAAGCACCGGCUAACUCCGUGCCAGCAGGCGCGGUAAUACGGAGGGUGCAAGCGUUACUCGGAAUCACUGGGCGUAAAGGGCGCGUAGGCGGGAUAGCAAGUCAGAUGUGAAAUCCUAUGGCUUAACCAUAGAACUGCGUUGGAAACUGUUAUUCUAGAGUGUGGGAGAGGUAGGUGGAAUUCUUGGUGUAGGGGUAAAAUGCGUAGAGAUCAAGAAGAAUACUCAUUGCGAAGGCGGCCUACUAGAACAUAACUGACGCUGAUGCGCGAAAGCGUGGGGAGCAAACAGGAUUAGAUACCCCAGUAGUC